rnacentral:rRNA from 1 species
UAGCGUUACUGACGCUGAAGCUCGAAAGCGUGGGUAUCGAACAGGAUUAGAUACCCUGGUAGUCCACGCGGUAAACGAUGGAUGCUCGCUGUUUGCCUUAUAUGGUAAGCGGCCAAGCGAAAGCAUUAAGCAUCCCACCUGGGGAGUACGCCGGCAACGGUGAAACUCAAAGGAAUUGACGGGGGCCCGCACAAGCGGAGGAACAUGUGGUUUAAUUCGAUGAUACGCGAGGAACCUUACCCGGGCUUGAACUGUAGGUGAACGAUUCAGAGAUGAUGAGGUCCUUCGGGACGCCUAUGGAGGUGCUGCAUGGUUGUCGUCAGCUCGUGCCGUGAGGUGUCGGCUUAAGUGCCAUAACGAGCGCAACCCCUUUCCGCAGUUGCCAUCAGGUUAAGCUGGGCACUCUGCGGAUACUGCCACCGCAAGGUGUGAGGAAGGUGGGGAUGACGUCAAAUCAGCACGGCUGACGUCGGUGCGACAAGGCCUGGGCAAGGGCGCAUACAGCGAGUUGGUCUUUGGCAACAGGGGUGAAAUCAGCAACAUGCGCGUGGUUGGGACUGGCAACCCCAACUCGGACGCAUGAAGCUGGAUUCGCUCGUG